rnacentral:rRNA from 1 species
GCUGAUGCGUUGUUGGGUAGGGGAGCGUUCUGUAAGCCUGCGAAGGUGGCCUGUGAGGGUUGCUGGAGGUAUCAGAAGUGCGAAUGCUGACAUAAGUAACGAUAAAGCGGGUGAAAAGCCCGCUCGCCGGAAGACCAAGGGUUCCUGUCCAACGUUAAUCGGGGCAGGGUGAGUCGACCCCUAAGGCGAGGCCGAAAGGCGUAGUCGAUGGGAAACGGGUUAAUAUUCCCGUACUUGGUGUUACUGCGAAGGGGGGACGGAGAAGGCUAUGUUGGCCGGGCGACGGUUGUCCCGGUUUAAGCAUGUAGGCGGAGGUUCCAGGUAAAUCCGGUACCUUAUUAACGCUGAGGUGUGAUGACGAGGCACUACGGUGCUGAAGCAACAAAUGCCCUGCUUCCAGGAAAAGCCUCUAAGCAUCAGGUAACAUCAAAUCGUACCCCAAACCGACACUGGUGGUCAGGUAGAGAAUACCAAGGCGCUUGAGAGAACUCGGGUGAAGGAACUAGGCAAAAUGGUGCCGUAACUUCGGGAGAAGGCACGCUGACACGUAGGUGAAGUGAUUUACUCACGGAGCUGAAGUCAGUCGAAGAUACCAGCUGGCUGCAACUGUUUAUUAAAAACACAGCACUGUGCAAACACGAAAGUGGACGUAUACGGUGUGACGCCUGCCCGGUGCCGGAAGGUUAAUUGAUGGGGUCAGCGCAAGCGAAGCUCCUGAUCGAAGCCCCGGUAAACGGCGGCCGUAACUAUAACGGUCCUAAGGUAGCGAAAUUCCUUGUCGGGUAAGUUCCGACCUGCACGAAUGGCGUAAUGAUGGCCAGGCUGUCUCCACCCGAGACUCAGUGAAAUUGAACUCGCUGUGAAGAUGCAGUGUACCCGCGGCAAGACGGAAAGACCCCGUGAACCUUUACUAUAGCUUGACACUGAACAUUGAGCCUUGAUGUGUAGGAUAGGUGGGAGGCUUUGAAGCGUGGACGCCAGUCUGCGUGGAGCCGACCUUGAAAUACCACCCUUUAAUGUUUGAUGUUCUAACGUGGACCCGUAAUCCGGGUUGCGGACAGUGUCUGGUGGGUAGUUUGACUGGGGCGGUCUCCUCCUAAAGAGUAACGGAGGAGCACGAAGGUUGGCUAAUCCUGGUCGGACAUCAGGAGGUUAGUGCAAUGGCAUAAGCCAGCUUGACUGCGAGCGUGACGGCGCGAGCAGGUGCGAAAGCAGGUCAUAGUGAUCCGGUGGUUCUGAAUGGAAGGGCCAUCGCUCAACGGAUAAAAGGUACUCCGGGGAUAACAGGCUGAUACCGCCCAAGAGUUCAUAUCGACGGCGGUGUUUGGCACCUCGAUGUCGGCUCAUCACAUCCUGGGGCUGAAGUAGGUCCCAAGGGUAUGGCUGUUCGCCAUUUAAAGUGGUACGCGAGCUGGGUUUAGAACGUCGUGAGACAGUUCGGUCCCUAUCUGCCGUGGGCGCUGGAGAACUGAGGGGGGCUGCUCCUAGUACGAGAGGACCGGAGUGGACGCAUCACUGGUGUUCGGGUUGUCAUGCCAAUGGCACUGCCCGGUAGCUAAAUGCGGAAGAGAUAAGUGCUGAAAGCAUCUAAGCACGAAACUUGCCCCGA